rnacentral:rRNA from 1 species
UUAAGCGACUAAGCGUACACGGUGGAUGCCCUGGCAGUCAGAGGCGAUGAAGGACGUGCUAAUCUGCGAUAAGCGUCGGUAAGGUGAUAUGAACCGUUAUAACCGGCGAUUUCCGAAUGGGGAAACCCAGUGUGAUUCGUCACACUAUCAUUAACUGAAUCCAUAGGUUAAUGAGGCGAACCGGGGGAACUGAAACAUCUAAGUACCCCGAGGAAAAGAAAUCAACCGAGAUUCCCCCAGUAGCGGCGAGCGAACGGGGAGCAGCCCAGAGCCUGAAUCAGUGUGUGUGUUAGUGGAAGCGUCUGGAAAGGCGCGCGAUACAGGGUGACAGCCCCGUACACAAAAAUGCACAUAUUGUGAGCUCGAUGAGUAGGGGCGGGACACGUGGUAUCCUGUCUGAAUAUGCGGGGACCAUCCUCCAAGGCUAAAUACUCCUGACUGACCGAUAGUGAACCAGUACCGUGAGGGAAAGGCGAAAAGAACCCCGGCGAGGGGAGUGAAAAAGAACCUGAAACCGUGUACGUACAAGCAGUGGGAGCACGCUUAGGCGUGUGACUGCGUACCUUUUGUAUAAUGGGUCAGCGACUUAUAUUCUGUAGCAAGGUUAACCGAAUAGGGGAGCCGAAGGGAAACCGAGUCUUAACUGGGCGUUAAGUUGCAGGGUAUAGACCCGAAACCCGGUGAUCUAGCCAUGGGCAGGUUGAAGGUUGGGUAACACUAACUGGAGGACCGAACCGACUAAUGUUGAAAAAUUAGCGGAUGACUUGUGGCUGGGGGUGAAAGGCCAAUCAAACCGGGAGAUAGCUGGUUCUCCCCGAAAGCUAUUUAAGUAGCGCCUCGUGAAUUCAUCUCCGGGGGUAGAGCACUGUUUCGGCAAGGGGGUCAUCCCGACUUACCAACCCGAUGCAAACUGCGAAUACCGGAGAAUGUUAUCACGGGAGACACACGGCGGGUGCUAACGUCCGUCGUGAAGAGGGAAACAACCCAGACCGCCAGCUAAGGUCCCAAAGUCAUGGUUAAGUGGGAAACGAUGUGGGAAGGCCCAGACAGCCAGGAUGUUGGCUUAGAAGCAGCCAUCAUUUAAAGAAAGCGUAAUAGCUCACUGGUCGAGUCGGCCUGCGCGGAAGAUGUAACGGGGCUAAACCAUGCACCGAAGCUGCGGCAGCGACGCUUAUGCGUUGUUGGGUAGGGGAGCGUUCUGUAAGCCUGCGAAGGUGUGCUGUGAGGCAUGCUGGAGGUAUCAGAAGUGCGAAUGCUGACAUAAGUAACGAUAAAGCGGGUGAAAAGCCCGCUCGCCGGAAGACCAAGGGUUCCUGUCCAACGUUAAUCGGGGCAGGGUGAGUCGACCCCUAAGGCGAGGCCGAAAGGCGUAGUCGAUGGGAAACAGGUUAAUAUUCCUGUACUUGGUGUUACUGCGAAGGGGGGACGGAGAAGGCUAUGUUGGCCGGGCGACGGUUGUCCCGGUUUAAGCGUGUAGGCUGGUUUUCCAGGCAAAUCCGGAAAAUCAAGGCUGAGGCGUGAUGACGAGGCACUACGGUGCUGAAGCAACAAAUGCCCUGCUUCCAGGAAAAGCCUCUAAGCAUCAGGUAACAUCAAAUCGUACCCCAAACCGACACAGGUGGUCAGGUAGAGAAUACCAAGGCGCUUGAGAGAACUCGGGUGAAGGAACUAGGCAAAAUGGUGCCGUAACUUCGGGAGAAGGCACGCUGAUAUGUAGGUGAAGUCCCUUGCGGAUGGAGCUGAAAUCAGUCGAAGAUACCAGCUGGCUGCAACUGUUUAUUAAAAACACAGCACUGUGCAAACACGAAAGUGGACGUAUACGGUGUGACGCCUGCCCGGUGCCGGAAGGUUAAUUGAUGGGGUCAGCGCAAGCGAAGCUCUUGAUCGAAGCCCCGGUAAACGGCGGCCGUAACUAUAACGGUCCUAAGGUAGCGAAAUUCCUUGUCGGGUAAGUUCCGACCUGCACGAAUGGCGUAAUGAUGGCCAGGCUGUCUCCACCCGAGACUCAGUGAAAUUGAACUCGCUGUGAAGAUGCAGUGUACCCGCGGCAAGACGGAAAGACCCCGUGAACCUUUACUAUAGCUUGACACUGAACAUUGAGCCUUGAUGUGUAGGAUAGGUGGGAGGCUUUGAAGUGUGGACGCCAGUCUGCAUGGAGCGCCUUGAAAUACCACCCUUUAAUGUUUGAUGUUCUAACGUGGACCCGUGAUCCGGGUUGCGGACAGUGUCUGGUGGGUAGUUUGACUGGGGCGGUCUCCUCCUAAAGAGUAACGGAGGAGCACGAAGGUUGGCUAAUCCUGGUCGGACAUCAGGAGGUUAGUGCAAUGGCAUAAGCCAGCUUGACUGCGAGCGUGACGGCGCGAGCAGGUGCGAAAGCAGGUCAUAGUGAUCCGGUGGUUCUGAAUGGAAGGGCCAUCGCUCAACGGAUAAAAGGUACUCCGGGGAUAACAGGCUGAUACCGCCCAAGAGUUCAUAUCGACGGCGGUGUUUGGCACCUCGAUGUCGGCUCAUCACAUCCUGGGGCUGAAGUAGGUCCCAAGGGUAUGGCUGUUCGCCAUUUAAAGUGGUACGCGAGCUGGGUUUAGAACGUCGUGAGACAGUUCGGUCCCUAUCUGCCGUGGGCGCUGGAGAACUGAGGGGGGCUGCUCCUAGUACGAGAGGACCGGAGUGGACGCAUCACUGGUGUUCGGGUUGUCAUGCCAAUGGCACUGCCCGGUAGCUAAAUGCGGAAGAGAUAAGUGCUGAAAGCAUCUAAGCACGAAACUUGCCCCGAGAUGAGUUCUCCCUGACCCUUUAAGGGUCCUGAAGGAACGUUGAAGACGACGACGUUGAUAGGCCGGGUGUGUAAGCGCAGCGAUGCGUUGAGCUAACCGGUACUAAUGAACCGUGAGGCUUAACCUU